rnacentral:rRNA from 1 species
AGAAGUACCGCAGGGCGCAUGGGGGAUGCCUUGGCUCCCGGAGGCGAAGAAGGACGCGGCAGGCUGCGAAAAGCUGCGGGUAGGCGCGAACGGCCGUUGAUCCGCAGGUGUCCGAAUGGGGCAACCCGCCGCGCGACGAGCGCGGCAUCCUCGGCGACGAGGAGGCGAACCCGCCGAACUGAAACAUCUAAGUAGGCGGAGGAAAGGAAAACAACAGUGACUCCCCGAGUAGCGGCGAGCGAAAGGGGACCAGCCCAAACCGUGUGCGUUGCGGCGCGCACGGGGUUGUAGGGCGGUCGCACGGGACUCGUUACGCGUAGCCGGAGCCGCCUGGAAAGGCGCGCCGCAGCGGGUGAAAGCCCCAUAGGCGAAACGCGUGCCGUACCCAGACCGGACCCUGAGUAGGGCGGGGCCGGAGGAACCCUGUCCGAAGCUGGCGGCACCAUCCGCCAAGGCUAAGCACUUCCGGGAGACCGAUAGCGCACUAGUACCGUGAGGGAAAGGUGAAAAGCACCGCGGACAGCGGAGUGAAAGAGACCCUGAAACCAUGCGCCUUCAAGCUGUCGGAGCCCGCGAGGGUGACGGCGUGCCUUUUGCAUAAUGAGCCUACGAGUCGCUCUUCGGCGGCGAGGGUGCGCGCCUUGAGGCGCCGACCCGGAGCGAAAGCGGGUCCGAAGAGGGCUUGAGUCGCCGGAGGCGGACGCGAAACUUUGUGAUCUACCCUUGGGCAGGCUGAAGGCGCCGUGACAGGCGCUGGAGGGCCGAACCGGUUGCCGUUGAAAAGGCUUCGGAUGACCUGAGGGUAGGGGUGAAAGGCCAAUCAAACUGAGAGAUAGCUCGUACUCCCCGAAAUGCCUUUAGGGGCGGCCUCGGGCGGUCCGACGCGGAGGUAGAGAUACUGUUUGGGCGAGGGGGCUUCGCCGCCUGCCGACCCCAGCCAAACUCCGAAUGCCGCGUCGCGCAGUCCGGGAGUGAGGGCGCGGGUGCUAACGUCCGCGCCCGAGAGGGAAAGAACCCGGACCACCGGCUAAGGCCCCCAAGUAGGCGCUAAGUUGAACUAACGAGGUCCGACUGCAGAGACAGCUGGGAUGUUGGCUUGGAAGCAGCCAUUCAUUCAAAGAGUGCGUAACAGCUCACCAGUCGAGCGGUCGGGUAUGGAUAAUGACCGGGCAUGAAGCGCUUCGCCGAAGCCGUGGGGCGGCCUUCUGGCCGCCGGUAGGGGAGCAUUCCGCGUGCGCGGAAGGGGAGCCGCGAGGCGUCCUGGAGCGCGCGGAAAGGCAAAUGUAGGCAUGAGUAACGACAAUGCGGAUGGGAAAUCCGCACACCGGAAGACCAAGGUUUCCUGAUCAACGCUAAUCGGAUCAGGGUCAGUCGGGUCCUAAGGGCGUUCCGCUGUCGAGGCGGAUGAGUCCGAUGGUCGACGGGUCAACAUUCCCGUACCGGUGCCCGUUGCGAAGCGGGGACGGAGAACCGUAGUCGCCGCCUGCUGACGGAAUAGCAGGUUGAAGCGCGAAGUCCAAGUCGCGGGAGGGAAGUCCCCUGCGUCGGGCGAUGCGCGACAGUACCGCGAGGCUUCGGCCGGGCGGACAGAGCGAGUAAGGCUGCUCCCGAGAAAAGCCGCUAAGCUUCAGGCGGGCGCCGCCCGUACCGGAAACCGACACAGGUGGUCGAGGAGAGAAUCCAAAGGUGCUCGAGUGAAUCACAGCCAAGGAACUAGGCAAACCGCCCCUGUAACUUCGGGAGAAAGGGUCCUCGCGUGAGCGAGGCGCAGAGAAACGGCCCAGGCGACUGUUUAGCAAAAACACAAGGCUAUGCGAACCCGCAAGGGGAGGUAUAUGGCCUGACACCUGCCCGGUGCCGGAAGGUUAAGAGGAGAGGUCAUCUUCGGAGAAGCCUUGAAUCGAAGCCCCGGUAAACGGCGGCCGUAACUAUAACGGUCCUAAGGUAGCGAAAUUCCUUGUCGGGCAAGUUCCGACCUGCACGAAUGGUGUAACGAUCUGGGCGCUGUCUCGGCUGUGAGCUCGGUGAAAUUGUAGCAGCGGUGAAGAUGCCGCUUACCCGCAACGGGACGAAAAGACCCCGUGAACCUUCACUACAGCUUAGCGCUGGUGACGGGCGGACGAUGCGUAGGAUAGGUGGGAGGCUUUGAAGCCGCGACUCCGGUCGCGUCGGAGCCGCCGUUGAAAUACCACCCUUCGUCCGUCUGUCCCCUAACGGGAGGUGAAUCCCGGACACCGCUUGGCGGGUAGUUUGACUGGGGUGGUCGCCUCCAAAAGCGUAACGGAGGCUUCCAAAGGUGCCCUCAGCACGGUUGGCAACCGUGCGUCGAGUGCAAUGGCAGAAGGGCGCUUGACUGCGAGACAGACAAGUCGGACAGGGACGAAAGUCGGGCAUAGUGAUCCGGCGGUACCGCAUGGAAGGGCCGUCGCUCAAAGGAUAAAAGGUACUCCGGGGAUAACAGGCUGAUCCCCCCCAAGAGCUCAUAUCGACGGGGUGGUUUGGCACCUCGAUGUCGGCUCGUCACAUCCUGGGGCUGGAGAAGGUCCCAAGGGUUCGGCUGUUCGCCGAUUAAAGUGGCACGCGAGCUGGGUUCAGAACGUCGCGAGACAGUUCGGUCUCUAUCUGUUGCGGGCGCUGGAGGCUUGAGGGGCGCUGGCCUUAGUACGAGAGGACCGGGCCGGACGGACCAACGGUGCGCCGGUUGCGUCGCCAGACGCACCGCCGGGUAGCCGCGUCCGGACGAGAUAAGCGCUGAAAGCAUCUAAGCGCGAAACUCGCCCCGAGAUGAGGCCUCCUCGGAGGGCCGUGGGAGACUACCACGUUGAUAGGCCGCAGGUGUGCGCGCAGCGAUGCGCUGAGCCGAGCGGCACUAAUUGCCCGAGAGCUUCCGCCG